rnacentral:rRNA from 1 species
UACAGAGGGUGCAAGCGUUGUUCGGAAUUAUUGGGCGUAAAGGGCGCGUAGGCGGGAUGGCAAGUCGGUCGUGAAAUCCCUCGGCUCAACCGAUGAACGUCGAUCGAUACUGCUGUUCUUGAGGAUUGCAGAGGAGACUGGAAUUCCCGGUGUAGCGGUGAAAUGUGUAGAGAUCGGGAGGAACACCGGUGGCGAAGGCGGGUCUCUGGGCAAUUCCUGACGCUGAGGCGCGAAAGCGUGGGGAGCAAACGGG